rnacentral:rRNA from 1 species
GACGAACCGUCCAAACGUUAUUCGGAAUUACUGGGCUUAAAGGGUGCGUAGGCGGCGCGGAAAGUAGGGUGUGAAAUCCCUCGGCUCAACCGAGGAACUGCGCCCUAAACUACCGUGCUUGAGGGAGAUAGAGGUAAGCGGAACUUAGGGUGGAGCGGUGAAAUGCGUUGAUAUCCUAAGGAACACCGGUGGCGAAAGCGGCUUACUGGAUCUCUUCUGACGCUGAGGCACGAAAGCUAGGGUAGCGAACGGG